CACUAAUCCUUUUCCCUACCGAUAUUUGAAAUUCAGGAACUGUAAAGUAAUUCAUUAAUAUAUUUUUGUACAAAAACAAAUUACAUUCCUCAUCUUUUUCUCUCUUUUCUAAUGGUGUAAAAUCUACUGAUGCGUCAGGUAGUGACUAUGGUUUCUGACCUCGAGCUGGAGUCUGGCGUCCCUCUUUAUACGCCAGACUCCGCCCAUUGAUUGGCGCAAGCCAUUCUCUAAUAAGUAUAUAAAAUAUACUUUCAAACUCGCCUUAAAUGGCAACGCUUUACACAUUAAAUGUUCACGUCUGCUAAACAGACACAUAAUACAUAAAACAUUAAACACAUACAUACAACCAUUAACACAUCUUUUCUGUAAAACAGGACAAACACCAACGCUGGUUAUACCCACAGACAACACUUGGUACAGUCGGACGUUCCAUCACUUUGCUCGGCUUGGCCGCUCUCGCGCUGAAGUCCAACCCCCCUAAACAAACAAAUAGACAAACAAACAAGACACGAAGACAGUGGGGGACUGAAGGGGGAGAAGUUAAACUGUGGAAGGAUGACGGUAUGCCAAUGAUAUGGUGCGUGCACUCAUCAAUAUCACCGCUAACGGAGGAAGGAAAGAAGUUGAAACCAAUGAGGAUGACCUCAACAGGAGAGAGCCUCCAAGUCCCAGUACUAGAUGCAGUUAAAGGCACUUGUCUUUGAACAAAAGUUCGUGAAGGAAGUACUUGAGGUCAUUGGGGUGUCCAAAGAAUGAGAUAGCUUGUUCCUUCCUACUGAAGGCUUUAAAGAGUACAUGCUUUGCAAGGACAUCAGCAAUUACAAUUAACAGAAAAUGUUAGGGUGGUGUAAGGUUAGGGUGAUUUUUUUUUUCUU